UACGGGGGGGGCAAGCGUUGUUCGGAAUUACUGGGCGUAAAGGGCUCGUAGGUGGCCAACUAAGUCAGACGUGAAAUCCCCAGGCUCAACUUGGGAACUGCGUCUGAUACUGGAUGGCUUGAAUUCGGGAGAGGGAUGCAGAAUUCCAGGUGUAGCGGUGAAAUGCGUAGAUAUCUGGAGGAAUACCGGUGGCGAAGGCGGCAUCCUGGAGCGAGAUUGACGCUGAGGCGCGAAAGCCAGGGGAGCAAACGGG
rnacentral:rRNA from 1 species